AUACUUAUCUGGAUGGGGAAAACCAUGAUCGUGAAGAUGAUUUUCCCAGGGUGAGGCCCAUCCAUGGCACUCUGGGUGUGCUACCCUUUUUGAUUAUUCCAAAUGUAGGAGACUUGGCUGUGUAAUUUAUGAUAAUAGGGAACUGUGUUCAGUCUCUUCCCUU
ensembl:snRNA U1 U1 spliceosomal RNA